AUGCGGGACUCAAUUCCAGGACCCCAGGAUCAUGACCUGAGCUGAAGCAGACGCUCAACCAACAGAGUCUUCCAGGUGUCCCUAGGGGUCACCUUUUCUUCAGCCUUCGAUUCUUUUACUUGAGGACUCCACGUUCAGAUGUAAAAUUCUCUACCAGUCUGGCAUGGAUUCAGCUGUGAGGUGCAGGUAAGGUUAUUUCCAUGGUGUUUAAUUGUCUUGUAUAACAAGACGUCCGAGAUGGGCAGUUUAGCGUUGGUUUAGGGGCGCAGAGAUGCCGUACCACUCAGUGUCUUUUCUGUGCUUUUCUUGCUCUGUAACCUAUAGUGUAUAUGCUUUUCCCCUCAUGCAUGCUGCUUCAUGAUCACAAGAUGGCUGCUGUACCUCCAGAUUUCACUGUCCAUGUUCCAGUCUGGAAGGUGCAAAAAGCCUUCUCUCAGACUUUGCCUUUUUAUUAUGGCAAUAAUUGUAACAAUUAUAAUUAUUAUUAUGUUAUUAAAAAGUACUCUCUCUAGGGAUUUCUUGCAUCUCUUUGGUUUUAGAGAUGUAGUAUGGCUA